rnacentral:rRNA from 1 species
GACGAACCGUGCGACCGUUGUUCGGAAUCAUUGGGCUUAAAGGGCGCGUAGGCGGGCGGUCAAGUCAGAGGUGAAAGCCCACGGCUCAACCGUGGAAGUGCCUCUGAUACUGGCCAUCUGGAGGGAGGUAGGGGCGUGCGGAACUUCCGGUGGAGCGGUGAAAUGCGUAGAUAUCGGAAGGAACACCGGUGGCGAAAGCGGCGCGCUGGACCUCUACUGACGCUGAGGCGCGAAAGCCAGGGGAGCAAACGGG